rnacentral:rRNA from 1 species
CCAUAGGUUAAUGAGGCGAACCGGGGGAACUGAAACAUCUAAGUACCCCGAGGAAAAGAAAUCAACCGAGAUUCCCCCAGUAGCGGCGAGCGAACGGGGAGGAGCCCAGAGCCUGAAUCAGUGUGUGUGUUAGUGGAAGCGUCUGGAAAGGCGCGCGAUACAGGGUGACAGCCCCGUACACAAAAAUGCACAUGCUGUGAGCUCGAUGAGUAGGGCGGGACACGUGGUAUCCUGUCUGAAUAUGGGGGGACCAUCCUCCAAGGCUAAAUACUCCUGACUGACCGAUAGUGAACCAGUACCGUGAGGGAAAGGCGAAAAGAACCCCGGCGAGGGGAGUGAAAAAGAACCUGAAACCGUGUACGUACAAGCAGUGGGAGCACGCUUAGGCGUGUGACUGCGUACCUUUUGUAUAAUGGGUCAGCGACUUAUAUUCUGUAGCAAGGUUAACCGAAUAGGGGAGCCGAAGGGAAACCGAGUCUUAACUGGGCGUUAAGUUGCAGGGUAUAGACCCGAAACCCGGUGAUCUAGCCAUGGGCAGGUUGAAGGUUGGGUAACACUAACUGGAGGACCGAACCGACUAAUGUUGAAAAAUUAGCGGAUGACUUGUGGCUGGGGGUGAAAGGCCAAUCAAACCGGGAGAUAGCUGGUUCUCCCCGAAAGCUAUUUAGGUAGCGCCUCGUGAAUUCAUCUCCGGGGGUAGAGCACUGUUUCGGCAAGGGGGUCAUCCCGACUUACCAACCCGAUGCAAACUGCGAAUACCGGAGAAUGUUAUCACGGGAGACACACGGCGGGUGCUAACGUCCGUCGUGAAGAGGGAAACAACCCAGACCGCCAGCUAAGGUCCCAAAGUCAUGGUUAAGUGGGAAACGAUGUGGGAAGGCCCAGACAGCCAGGAUGUUGGCUUAGAAGCAGCCAUCAUUUAAAGAAAGCGUAAUAGCUCACUGGUCGAGUCGGCCUGCGCGGAAGAUGUAACGGGGCUAAACCAUGCACCGAAGCUGCGGCAGCGACGCUUAUGCGUUGUUGGGUAGGGGAGCGUUCUGUAAGCCUGUGAAGGUGUGCUGUGAGGCAUGCUGGAGGUAUCAGAAGUGCGAAUGCUGACAUAAGUAACGAUAAAGCGGGUGAAAAGCCCGCUCGCCGGAAGACCAAGGGUUCCUGUCCAACGUUAAUCGGGGCAGGGUGAGUCGACCCCUAAGGCGAGGCCGAAAGGCGUAGUCGAUGGGAAACAGGUUAAUAUUCCUGUACUUGGUGUUACUGCGAAGGGGGGACGGAGAAGGCUAUGUUGGCCGGGCGACGGUUGUCCCGGUUUAAGCGUGUAGGCUGGUUUUCCAGGCAAAUCCGGAAAAUCAAGGCUGAGGCGUGAUGACGAGGCACUACGGUGCUGAAGCAACAAAUGCCCUGCUUCCAGGAAAAGCCUCUAAGCAUCAGGUAACAUCAAAUCGUACCCCAAACCGACACAGGUGGUCAGGUAGAGAAUACCAAGGCGCUUGAGAGAACUCGGGUGAAGGAACUAGGCAAAAUGGUGCCGUAACUUCGGGAGAAGGCACGCUGAUAUGUAGGUGAAGUCCCUCGCGGAUGGAGCUGAAAUCAGUCGAAGAUACCAGCUGGCUGCAACUGUUUAUUAAAAACACAGCACUGUGCAAACACGAAAGUGGACGUAUACGGUGUGACGCCUGCCCGGUGCCGGAAGGUUAAUUGAUGGGGUCAGCGCAAGCGAAGCUCUUGAUCGAAGCCCCGGUAAACGGCGGCCGUAACUAUAACGGUCCUAAGGUAGCGAAAUUCCUUGUCGGGUAAGUUCCGACCUGCACGAAUGGCGUAAUGAUGGCCAGGCUGUCUCCACCCGAGACUCAGUGAAAUUGAACUCGCUGUGAAGAUGCAGUGUACCCGCGGCAAGACGGAAAGACCCCGUGAACCUUUACUAUAGCUUGACACUGAACAUUGAGCCUUGAUG